rnacentral:rRNA from 1 species
AACGAACGCUGGCGGCAUGCCUAACACAUGCAAGUCGAACGAGACCUUCGGGUCUAGUGGCGCACGGGUGCGUAACGCGUGGGAAUCUGCCCUUGGGUUCGGAAUAACAGUUAGAAAUGACUGCUAAUACCGGAUAAUGUCUUCGGACCAAAGAUUUAUCGCCCAGGGAUGAGCCCGCGUAGGAUUAGCUAGUUGGUGAGGUAAAGGCUCACCAAGGCGACGAUCCUUAGCUGGUCUGAGAGGAUGAUCAGCCACACUGGGACUGAGACACGGCCCAGAACUCCUACGGGAGGCAGCAGUGGGGAAUAUUGG